CCGUUUGGGGUGAAGUACGUCUGAAGCUACUUCCGUAUGCGCGUUUGCGACGGUUUAUUCACAUAAUAAUCCAUUCAUAAAACUAUCUCUCUCUCUCUCUCUCAUGAAUACAUACUGCACACAAAAGUUAUACCCACACACAUACACACACCGCUUCGUUCGUUCAUCCGUCCAUAUCCAUCCGCUAUUCAGCAACAAAUCUAUCUAUGCAUUCCUAUUUCUAGAGCAGUGUAAGGAUUAAAAGCAAGUACAGGUUCGUGGUGGAUGAAGUUAGGCAAAAUCUCAUAAAUCAUUUCCUGUCUCUGCCUACCAUGUCCGGUGCGUUGCCUAAAUGGCCGAUCCUCUUCCGCUCUUUUCUCUCAACCAGCACAAACCCACCGACCGACCGACCGACGACGACGACGGCCACCACAAAAACCGACCAAAUCAUCCUCCAAUCUAUCUACCUGUUGUUGUUCUGCUCCCCAUCAUCCAUUUACAGUUUAUCAAUCAGCAACAACCUUCCUCCUUCCUUCCUCUCUCGCCCAAAUCUAGAAUGAAACGUCUGCCCCUCUCGCUCUCCCUCCCUCCCUCCAUUCACAAACAACCACCACCAACCAAACCAACCAAUUUCCAACCAAUGCACAGUUUUUCCACGACCCCAACAACAACGGAUCAAGAAGAAGACGAAGAAGAAGGAGGCAAACAUUAAGAAGAAGGCCAACAACCAGACCUUAAACCUGACAUAUGGACUCGAAUGAUUGUAGGAGCAGAGGAGCUUUACUUACUUACUUAGGCUUUCGCCUUUUGUUACCCAUGCACAAAUAAAUCCGAGUCUUAUAAUGUUCAAUAUUAUUAUUAUUAUUGCUUUGCCUAGCUCCCAAGGAGGAAGGGAGGAGUAUUACGCGUGAGUAUAUUUUAAUUCUCUCAAACUCCUCUGCAUCCUGCCAGGAAGGAAGGCCAGCAAAAGUCGACGACGAGUGUUACAUACAUACGUCCAUCCACAUGCUGCUCCUUAAAAGCCAGUUCCUUAAAGAAGAAGAAGAAUAUUAUAUUAUCAUCGUCUUGCUGCUGCUGCCAUGCUGCCCAAGAAGAAGACGAAAAAGUUGAAGAAGUUUCCUUCAACUUCAACCUGCCCUUCCUGCUCCUUCUUCGAAUCACUACCAACACCACCACCACAAAAGAAGACUUUUAAGCUGAUUCAAUCUCUGCCUUCUCAAAGUACAAUAGACUUUAAAGCCAAACAUAUUUUACUUUACUGCCUUGCCAUCCAGCCCUAGUGGAUAUCUACCUACGCACAAAAAAACUGGGUUCUUCCGUCCGUCCGUCCGUCUUCCAAAUGGUACCAAAGAGAGCAGAGAUUAUCAUUCAUUAAAACCCCACCUGCUCGUCCUUUUCCUUUUUCAAUGCCUCCUCCGUAUGGUCUCGCGUAAGAACGAAGAAGGAGAAAGGAUCGUUUCCUUCUUCGGAAUAAUAAUAAAUCCAAAUCUCUACAACACACUGAUUUUUUUUCUCUCUCGACCCAGCCAGCAUUAGUCUUAUUAUUCAUCACUUCCUUUUCCACUCACCACUACUUAAAACUACGACAAGGAGGACUUAACAGGAGAGGAGAGGGAAGAGGGGACUUAAAAAAACGGAGCGUAUGGGCAAAACCUAAAUCUUUCUACUACGCACUCUAAUAAUAAACCUGGCUUUAAGAAGAAAAAAAUCAUCUAUUUUAUUACCACUUCACUACCAAAACCUGUGUGUAAUUUCUGCUGCCUGCUGCUGUCUGAUUAAACAACAAUGCAUUCAUUCUGAUCCUUA